AUGUCUCUUUGAAUUAAACAUAUAAAGAGUCUGGCCUGCCCAGUGAAUAAUUUUUAACGGCCGCGGUACUCUGACCGUGCGAAGGUAGCAUAAUCAUUUGUCUUAUAAUUGAAGUCUAGAAUGAAUGGCUUGACAAGAGUAAUGCUGUCUCUAAUUUUUUCCUAAAAUUUUAUUAUUAAGUUAAAAAGCUUAAAUAUAAUUAAAAGACGAGAAGACCCUAUCGAGCUUCAGGAAUUUGAAAAAAUUCUUAACAUUUAUGUAAAUAGAAUAUUUUACAAAACUUUGGUUGGGGCGACCCGAGAACAUAAGAAGCUUCUCAUAAUAGCAUUUAUUUAUUGAUUUAGAUCCGCUUAUUGCGAUAAAAAGAAUUAGUUACCGUAGGGAUAACAGCAUUAUCUUUUUUGAGAGUUCUAAUCGAAAAAAAGGUUUGUGACCUCGAUGUUGGACCAGCAUAACCUGAAGAUGUAGAAGUCUUUAAAGGUUGGUCUGUUCGACCAUUAAAAUGCUACGUGAUCUGAGUUCAGACCGG
rnacentral:rRNA from 1 species